AUCUCUCCUCUGCUGUUUAUAAUUUCACAUAUAAUGCUGCUACUUGCAUUUUGCCAUGAUAUUACUGAUCAACAAAUUGUGUGUUUUUAAAUGAUAUCUCACAAAACAUACUCUAUACAAUGAUUAUUACAAUAGUGUGUAGGGUGUGGACACAG